rnacentral:rRNA from 1 species
GUUGUAUGGUUAAGUGACUAAGCGUACACGGUGGAUGCCUUGGCAGUCAGAGGCGAUGAAAGACGUAGUAACUUGCGAUAAGCCCAGAUUAGGUAGUAACAACCAUUUGAGUCUGAGAUUUCUUAAGGGGCAGACCCACGUUCAUAAGCACGUAUC